UACAGAGGUCCCAAGCGUUGUUCGGAUUCACUGGGCGUAAAGGGUGCGCAGGUGGGUUGGCAAGUUCGAUGUGAAAGCCCCCGGGCUUAACCCGGGAAUGGCAUUGGAUACUGUUGAUCUGGAGGGUCGGAGGGGGGACUGGAAUUCUUGGUGUAGCAGUGAAAUGCGUAGAUAUCAAGAGGAACACCAGUGGCGAAGGCGAGUCCCUGGACGAUACCUGACACUGAGGCACGAAAGCCAAGGGAGCAAACAGG
rnacentral:rRNA from 1 species